UUUCGCCCAAAGUACAUUGGAAUACUCAUCGACACUUGUCCCGAAGACAUCUUAUUGUCGGCUAAAUUCAUCAAGUACUGGAGCAAUUUUGCCAAGACUGGUAAUCCGAAUGGUCCUGGUUUACCACAAUGGCCAUUGUUUGAUCUGAGAAGGUUUGGGUACCUGAACUGCGAUAAUAAUAUCACUGACCA